AGGUGAUGCUGGGGGUGAUGCUGAUGCCCAUCCAAGGUUGAGACCUACUGCUCUACUCUGAUGUCAGCUCUCCGAGGGACACCGUGGCCUGCUUUGUUCCCUUCCCUGUCCCCAGUGUCUGGCAUCGUGUAGGCGUGUCAUAAAUAUCCGUGGAGUGCAUAAUAACAGUGAUGAUAAUAGCAGCUGGUCAUUGAUUGAAGACCUCUUGUGUGACGGUCUCUGCGUUAAACAUUUCUGGAGGCUUAACUCAUUUAAGGAGCUACCCCAGCCACCAGCCAUCAUUUUCACAGAUGGUGAAACUGAGGUCCAGAGAGGCCAAGCGCCGUACCCAAAGGUCACUCAGCGGGACAGCUGGCAGGAAACCUCGCGUCUGCCCGCGUCGCCCCCGCCCUUCCCCAGAGCCCGGCGGCCGCGUGUGUCCGCGGCCCUGCGAGGGCGCCCCGGCUCCGGACUUCCCAGGACGGCCGGGGGAGGAGCGCGCGGCGGCGACCGUGGCGAAAGUGCGGUUGUGGAUGCGCCGAGAGGCCGGCGGCGGCGGCGGCGGAGGAGGAAGCUGAGCAGGGCGGCGGCGGCGGAACCUGCGGGACUGGGGCGCGCGCCAUGGGUCGCCUGCACUGCACUGAGGACCCAGUGCCCGAGGCCGUGGGCGGCGACAUGCAGCAGCUGAACCAGUUGAGCGCGCAGCAGUUCUCAGCCCUGACAGAGGUGCUUUUCCACUUCCUAACUGAGCCAAAAGAGGCCCAGGUUUUCACUGUUCCCUCACUGCAGGUGGAAAGGUUUCUGGCUCAGCUCUCUGAAUUUGCCACCACCAAUCGUAUCAGUCUCGGCUCCCUCAGAAGCAUUGUGAAAAGCCUCCUCCUGGUUCCAAAUGGUGCUUUGAAGAAGAGCCUCACAGCCAAGCAGGUCCAGGCGGAUUUUAUAACUCUGGGCCUUAGUGAGGAGAAAGCCACUUACUUUUCUGAAAAGUGGAAGCAGAAUGCUCCCACCCUUGCUCAGUGGGCCAUUGGUCAGACUCUGAUGAUUAACCAGCUCAUAGAUAUGGAGUGGAAAUUUGGAGUGACAUCUGGGAGCAGCGAAUUGGAGAAAGUGGGAAGUAUAUUUUUACAACUAAAGUUGGUGGUUAAGAAAGGAAAUCAAACCGAAAAUGUGUAUAUAGGGUCCUCAUCUGGGAAAUGAGGGAAGCCACCCUUCCUGGGAUCCUGGCAGAAUUCACUGAGGUCCACCCAUGAGGGGUCUGGCCACGUCCAGUCUCAAAGAUAGUGGCUGCUGCAGGCACCUCCGCUUUGAGCACCUGGGUCUACUCAUGAGCUGCUAGCUGUGCUUGCACAGACUUCCUGUGACUAGACCCGCCCGCUCCUCUGGCUGAGCUCUGAUCUCCAGGAAGGGAGUAAUGGAGGCACCAUACCCAAGACUGGGGUCCCCUUAAAGGUAGAGUGAAUCUCAGAUUCAUCUUAGUCCCUUCCUAGGGUCUUGUUCAGGACCCUGCAUCCAGCAGAUGCUCCACAAAUGUCAACAUAGGAAUCCAGAUCUCAUCCUCUCCUCACUCAAAGGAUCCAGGGCUGCCUCUUCCUCUUCCGUAGCAGUGUGGCUUUGCGGAAGACACUUAAGCUCUCUAAUCCUUCUCCUCAGAGUGCCAGACUGCAGCUGCCACAUGAAGAGAGCCCAGAAAGCUCCUCUGAGAACACUGGACUUCAGGAGAGGGGCCCAUGCUCUGUACCCAACCCUCAGCAGCCAGAUCCUAGAGUCCCAGUGCAAGCUGUGGGCCAACGGAGGGGAGCGGACUCAGGCCUGCUUUGUGCCUGCAGGAUCUGGGGAAUCGGGAGCACUGGCCGGAGCCCACGGUUUGGGGCCGAACCAGCCCCCUUCUGUUUCCCUGAAGAAGGGUGAGGCUGAGGGCCCUUGGAACAGAGCCCCUGUGUCAUUCUGUGCAGGGCCAGGGUAGCCACUAGUCACUGUGGGCAGAAGCAAGAUGCAGAGGCUCAGCCUCCAUCCCAAGCCUGUGCUCCUGCUGGGCUGUGGGAGGUGCGACCCUUCCACUGUUUCGUGAACUGAGAACAUGGAGGGACUGGCAUUUGCUGUGUUACCCUGUGGUGCCGUCAGCGUGUUGUGACAGAGGCAGGAGGAGUGUGCUGGAACCCACCCACUCUGGUACUGUCCAUCUCUGUGGCCUUGGGCCAGCCUCCAAAAUGUACCAUGCCUUAGUUUCCCUAUGAUUCAUAGCUGCUUCAUGGGCUGUUGUGAGGAUUAAAUGGCUUACAAUGUG